UACGUAGGGCGCAAGCGUUAUCCGGAAUUAUUGGGCGUAAAGAGCUCGUAGGCGGUUUGUCGCGUCUGCCGUGAAAGUCCGGGGCUCAACUCCGGAUCUGCGGUGGGUACGGGCAGACUAGAGUGAUGUAGGGGAGACUGGAAUUCCUGGUGUAGCGGUGAAAUGCGCAGAUAUCAGGAGGAACACCGAUGGCGAAGGCGGGUCUCUGGGCAAUUCCUGACGCUGAGGCGCGAAAGCGUGGGGAGCAAACGGG
rnacentral:rRNA from 1 species